UUACCUGGGUUUGACAUAUAGGUUGUAGGGAACUGAAAAGGGACCGACCCUUCGGGGAGCCUAUACAGGUGUUGCAUGGCUGUCGUCAGCUCGUGUCGUGAGAUGUUCGGUUAAGUCCGCUAACGAGCGCAACCCUCGUCGUAUGUUAUAUGUGUCAUACGAGACUGGCCGGUAAAAAGCCGGAGGAAGGUGAGGAUGAUGUCAAGUCAGCAUGACCUUUAUAUCCAGGGCUACACACACGCUACAAUGGUCUGUACAAUGGGUAGCCAAGCCGCGAGGCGGAGCCAAUCCUGAAAGCAGGCCUCAGUUCAGAUUGCAGUCUGCAACUCGACUGCAUGAAGCCGGAGUUGCUAGUAACCGCAGGUCAGCAAUACUGCGGUGAAUACGUUCCCGGGUCUU
rnacentral:rRNA from 1 species